rnacentral:rRNA from 1 species
GUUGUAUAGUUAAGUGACUAAGCGUACAAGGUGGAUGCCUUGGCAAUCAGAGGCGAAGAAGGACGUGCUAAUCUGCGAAAAGCUUG